AAAAAUAACUAAAUUUCAUCAAGAUGCACCGGAUCCUAUCAGAACACUGUAGUUAAGCGUGAUUGGUCGAGAGUAGUACUAGAAGGGUGACCUUCCGAGAAGUUCUCGUGUUGCAUCCC
rnacentral:rRNA from 1 species